UGCAGUCGAGCGGACCGACGGGAGCUUGCUCCCUUAGGUCAGCGGCGGACGGGUGAGUAACACGUGGGUAACCUGCCUGUAAGACUGGGAUAACUCCGGGAAACCGGGGCUAAUACCGGAUGCUUGAUUGAACCGCAUGGUUCAAUCAUAAAAGGUGGCUUUUAGCUACCACUUGCAGAUGGACCCGCGGCGCAUUAGCUAGUUGGUGAGGUAACGGCUCACCAAGGCGACGAUGCGUAGCCGACCUGAGAGGGUGAUCGGCCACACUGGGACUGAGACACGGCCCAGACUCCUACGGGAGGCAGCAGUAGGGAAUCUUCCGCAAUGGACGAAAGUCUGACGGAGCAACGCCGCGUGAGUGAUGAAGGUUUUCGGAUCGUAAAACUCUGUUGUUAGGGAAGAACAAGUACCGUUCGAAUAGGGCGGCACCUUGACGGUACCUAACCAGAAAGCCACGGCUAACUACGUGCCAGCAGCCGCGGUAAUACGUAGGUGGCAAGCGUUGUCCGGAAUUAUUGGGCGUAAAGCGCGCGCAGGCGGUUUCUUAAGUCUGAUGUGAAAGCCCCCGGCUCAACCGGGGAGGGUCAUUGGAAACUGGGGAACUUGAGUGCAGAAGAGGAGAGUGGAAUUCCACGUGUAGCGGUGAAAUGCGUAGAGAUGUGGAGGAACACCAGUGGCGAAGGCGACUCUCUGGUCUGUAACUGACGCUGAGGCGCGAAAGCGUGGGGAGCGAACAGGAUUAGAUACCCUGGUAGUCCACGCCGUAAACGAUGAGUGCUAAGUGUUAGAGGGUUUCCGCCCUUUAGUGCUGCAGCAAACGCAUUAAGCACUCCGCCUGGGGAGUACGGUCGCAAGACUGAAACUCAAAGGAAUUGACGGGGGCCCGCACAAGCGGUGGAGCAUGUGGUUUAAUUCGAAGCAACGCGAAGAACCUUACCAGGUCUUGACAUCCUCUGACAACCCUAGAGAUAGGGCUUCCCCUUCGGGGGCAGAGUGACAGGUGGUGCAUGGUUGUCGUCAGCUCGUGUCGUGAGAUGUUGGGUUAAGUCCCGCAACGAGCGCAACCCUUGAUCUUAGUUGCCAGCAUUCAGUUGGGCACUCUAAGGUGACUGCCGGUGACAAACCGGAGGAAAAGGUGGGGAUGACGUCAAAUCAUCAUGCCCCUU
rnacentral:rRNA from 1 species